rnacentral:rRNA from 1 species
CGGUAAAACGCGCUGGAGGACCGAACCCACGUAAGUUGAAAAUUGCGGGGAUGAGUUGUGGGUAGCGGUGAAAUUCCAAACGAACUUGGAGAUAGCUGGUUCUCUCCGAAAUAGCUUUAGGGCUAGCCUCGCAAAGAGGAUGCUGGAGGUAGAGCUCUGUUUGGACUAGGGGCCCGUCAAGGGUUACUGAAUUCAGAUAAACUGCGAAUUCCAGACAUUUAUGUGCGGGAGUCAGACUGCGAGUGAUAAGAUCCGUAGUCGAAAGGGAAACAGCCCAGAUCACCAGUUAAGGUCCCAAAAUUCAUGCUAAGUGGAAAAGGAUGUGGAGUUGCGCAGACAACUAGGACGUUGGCUCAGAAGCAGCCAUCAUUCAAAGAGUGCGUAAUAGCUCACUAGUCGAGUGACGCCGCGCCGAAAAUUUACCGGGGCUAAGCAUGAUACCGAAACUGUGGAUGUGC